rnacentral:rRNA from 1 species
UACGAAGGGGCUAGCGUUGUUCGGAAUCACUGGGCGUAAAGGGCGCGUAGGCGGCUUAUCAAGUCAGGCGUGAAAUUCCCGGGCUCAACCUGGGGGCUGCGCUUGAUACUGAUUGGCUUGAAUGCGGGAGAGGAUAGUGGAAUUCCCGAGUGUAGAGGUGAAAUUCGUAGAUAUUGGGAAGAACACCGGUGGCGAAGGCGGCUAUCUGGCCCGUA